rnacentral:rRNA from 1 species
CCUAACACAUGCAAGUCGAAYKUGAUUGAGAGCUUGCUCUCAUGAAAGUGGCGCACGGGUGAGUAACGCGUAGAUAAUCUACCUGAUGAUCCGGGAUAACACUUCGAGAGGGGUGCUAAUACCUGAUAAGCUCACGGAGUCUUUGGAUUCUGCGAGAAAAGGGGGGGACCUUAGGGCCUUCCGUCAUCAGAUGAGUCUGCGUACCAUUAGCUAGUUGGUAGGGUAAAGGCCUACCAAGGCGACGAUGGUUAGCUGGUCUGAGAGGAUGAUCAGCCACACUGGAACUGAGACACGGUCCAGACUCCUACGGGAGGCAGCAGUGGGGAAUUUUGCGCAAUGGGGGAAACCCUGACGCAGCAACGCCGCGUGAGUGAUGAAGGCCCUUGGGUCGUAAAGCUCUGACAGAGGGAAAGAAAUGUAGAGGGGCUAAUAUCCCCAUUACUUGACGGUACCCUCAAAGGAAGCACCGGCUAACUCCGUGCCAGCAGCCGCGGUAAUACGGGGGGUGCAAGCGUUGUUCGGAUUUAUUGGGCGUAAAGCGCGUGUAGGCGGUCUUAUAAGUCUGAUGUGAAAGCCCUGGGCUCAACCCAGGAAGUGCAUUGGAUACUGUAAGACUUGAAUACGGGAGAGGGCAGUGGAAUUCCUAGUGUAGGAGUGAAAUCCGUAGAUAUUAGGAGGAACACCGGUGGCGAAGGCGGCUGCCUGGACCGAUAUUGACGCUGAGACGCGAAAGCGUGGGUAGCAAACAGGAUUAGAUACCCUGGUAGUCCACGCCGUAAACGAUGAGGACUAGGUGUUGCGGGUAUUGACCCCUGCAGUGCCGUAGCUAACGCAUUAGUUCUCCGCCUGGGAAGUACGGG